rnacentral:misc_RNA from 1 species
CCGUAGGUGAACCUGCGGAAGGAUCAUUACCGAAGCUCUUUGGGGGUGGGAGGAUAAAACAGCCCCCCCGACACAAACUGGGCGAUAGGCCGGGACCGCACCAUCUAGUACUCGGACCCGCCACGUGACAACGUUUGUCUGCAGGCGCCUUCUUUCCUUAUAGGUAGCGCACACACCCGCCGACGAGCUCUCGGGGCAGGCCAGGACGGGAGCGCGAGGAUAGCAGCUUUGAACGACCGGCCUCGGCCGGGAGCCGAACUCUUUCUUCUCCUCCUAGACAACUGACCCACUGACGACUUGGCAGGCGCGCUACCGCGGGGCGAGGAGGCUCGCGACGACAGGCUAGUACCACGCGGUCGUUCCGGGGAAAUUGUGAGAAAGUCGCCGGACUGUCCAAGUAUACAUGUCUAUAAAAACCCCGCGAAAGAAUUGCAUUAUGCGAUGUCGGGCGAGAGGCGUCUCGCCGAGCUUUCCCAAGCUCGAAACAAAGCGCACCCCACAUUUCAACCCCAAGAAACUCUGAAUCUGAACUCAAAAGGAGGCGAGCGCUCUGCCGCGCGCCUUCUCAACCUUUAACGUUGUAAAACUUUCAGCGACGGAUGUCUUGGCUCCCUCAACGAUGAAGAACGCAGCGAAAUGCGAUACAGCUCAGACGCCUA